CCGAAAAGCCACCGCCAAAUAAAGACGCAGCAGUCCCUACCUCUCAGAUGUCCCUUCGUCUUCUUCCCCGCUAUUGUAAGGACGAGAUCAAGGACAAGAUAGCAACUACGUCUUGCGUAAGAAGGUAGGAGUUACCAGUGAGUUCAAGAUGAGGACAGGGAUGCUGCGAUUCUUCCUUUGGAUUUAUUGCGUAGUGAGGAUUCAAGAAAUUAAUGGUCGGAUAAGAUCCGAAAGAAAGUACGAAUUCUUAGCCGCCGCCGGCGAAGCAUUGGACGCCAUCUUGCAGAAGACAGUGCAACCCUGGUGCCUCAAUGAUACUUGUAACGGACGGUUCUCCAUCACCUAUCGCUAUACAUAAGGUGUUGGAACAUAUCGAACCGCUGUAUGGGGCGCAGGUGUAUGAGGUGAAGUCCGAAAAGCAGCCCAACAACCGAACUCAAGACCAACUUUUGGAUGUCAUCGGUGAAGCUACGAGAAUGUUGAAGUCCCACAAGUGUGUGAUGAUGAUAGUGGCAACGACGAGCACCGUUUUCCUGGAAACGGUUUUGGGGCUGUACGCUUACGACCUGCAGCUGGUCUGGAAACAGAGGCCCAUCUUCGUGACUAACGCGCCCCUGGGAAUCCUGAAGGGCCUCAUUAGGACGCACUGGGAGCUCUUCGCCACGAGCGCCAUGGUCGUGCACGUCCAGGAAGCCAGGUUUGAGAAGAGAUGGAUCGGAUUCUACUCUCACCAGCCAUUCAGCCCCCAAAAUGGAGGCGAGGUCAUCCGUACUGCUUCGUGGACGACAUUGCGGGGUCUAGUCACAGCGCCUAAAAAUAAAU